rnacentral:rRNA from 1 species
UGAUGAACGCUAGCUACAGGCUUAACACAUGCAAGUCGAGGGGCAGCAUUUUAGUUUGCUUGCAAACUGAAGAUGGCGACCGGCGCACGGGUGAGUAACACGUAUCCAACCUGCCGAUAACUCCGGAAUAGCCUUUCGAAAGAAAGAUUAAUACCGGAUAGCAUACGAAUAUCGCAUGAUAUUUUUAUUAAAGAAUUUCGGUUAUCGAUGGGGAUGCGUUCCAUUAGUUUGUUGGCGGGGUAACGGCCCACCAAGACAACGAUGGAUAGGGGUUCUGAGAGGAAGGUCCCCCACAUUGGAACUGAGACACGGUCCAAACUCCUACGGGAGGCAGCAGUGAGGAAUAUUGGUCAAUGGGCGAGAGCCUGAACCAGCCAAGUAGCGUGAAGGAUGAAGGCUCUAUGGGUCGUAAACUUCUUUUAUAUGGGAAUAAAGUUUUCCACGUGUGGAAUUUUGUAUGUACCAUAUGAAUAAGGAUCGGCUAACUCCGUGCCAGCAGCCGCGGUAAUACGGAGGAUCCGAGCGUUAUCCGGAUUUAUUGGGUUUAAAGGGAGCGUAGGUGGAUUGUUAAGUCAGUUGUGAAAGUUUGCGGCUCAACCGUAAAAUUGCAGUUGAAACUGGCAGUCUUGAGUACAGUAGAGGUGGGCGGAAUUCGUGGUGUAGCGGUGAAAUGCUUAGAUAUCACGAAGAACUCCGAUUGCGAAGGCAGCUCACUAGACUGUCACUGACACUGAUGCUCGAAAGUGUGGGUAUCAAACAGGAUUAGAUACCCUGGUAGUCCACACAGUAAACGAUGAAUACUCGCUGUUUGCGAUAUACAGUAAGCGGCCAAGCGAAAGCAUUAAGUAUUCCACCUGGGGAGUACGCCGGCAACGGUGAAACUCAAAGGAAUUGACGGGGGCCCGCACAAGCGGAGGAACAUGUGGUUUAAUUCGAUGAUACGCGAGGAACCUUACCCGGGCUUAAAUUGCAACAGAAUAUAUUGGAAACAGUAUAGCCGUAAGGCUGUUGUGAAGGUGCUGCAUGGUUGUCGUCAGCUCGUGCCGUGAGGUGUCGGCUUAAGUGCCAUAACGAGCGCAACCCUUAUCUUUAGUUACUAACAGGUGAUGCUGAGGACUCUAGAGAGACUGCCGUCGUAAGAUGUGAGGAAGGUGGGGAUGACGUCAAAUCAGCACGGCCCUUACGUCCGGGGCUACACACGUGUUACAAUGGGGGGUACAGAAGGCGGCUACCUGGUGACAGGAUGCUAAUCCCAAAAACCUCUCUCAGUUCGGAUCGAAGUCUGCAACCCGACUUCGUGAAGCUGGAUUCGCUAGUAAUCGCGCAUCAGCCAUGGCGCGGUGAAUACGUUCCCGGGCCUUGUACACACCGCCCGUCAAGCCAUGAAAGCCGGGGGUACCUGAAGUACGUAACCGCAAGGAGCGUCCUAGGGU